AGCGCUUCGAAGCGUGACUUGGACCGUACCCAUAGAGAUAGACCGGCCGUCACCGUAGAAAGCAGCGCGGCAACAUCAAUUCGUAUACACUUGACCGGAAUUGAACGUAAUUUUAAGGAACUGCUAUAUGCAAUCGUUUGUAUUUCGUUUGAAGAGUAAUGAAGUGUGAUUAAAAAGGAUCAAGUCGUAUGAUCUACAAUAUGAAGCAGAACAAUUUUAACGCUCUCGGUGGGAUUAAUCUGAAGUUGGAUGAUAUCAAGAGUGUGAUCGAGUUCGGCCAACUAGGCAAAGGGAAAAUAGUUCUCCAUAGCAGCAGUAAAGAUGAUACCACAGAUCGUUUGAGUAAAGUGUUGAAUGCAUCGAUUCUAGAUGAUAGCGUACCACCUACAUCUGUGCAAAGUUUUCUGGAGGCGAGGCUCAGUCUAACGACUGUUGUUAUAACCAAUCAUGGAAAAAAAUUUUAAAACCGAUACCACAACAGUAUCUUGGACGACGGGGAAAAUCUUGGUUUUAAUAGAAAUGAUAGUGACGGGCGAGUCAGCGUCGCAGUCUGCUGAUCUGCCGAUACCACUGGGAGAUCUCGUCGCAGAAAUGUUAUAUUGCUACAUCCAAAGUGCUAAAUGCACUCGGUUUCAUGCAGCCUCGACAUCCGGUGCUAAAUUGAUCAAUCAGAUUUUGCCACUGUACGUCGGUGAGCACCGAGCGCCCAAUGCCGUGACGACGUUAACUGGACAGCUUCUAGCCUUGCUGACUGGCGAGAAACUCAGCGACAUGAAUGAAACGACUUGUCACAAAAACCGCCUCACAUGGAUGGGCGGAUACAAUUUUACAGAAAUAUGCAUAAACUCAACCGUCAAUUAUAGUACAGCUGUGAGUCCGGCAUUUAUCAUCGACGGAUAUAAUAUGAAGUCUGAUGUGUACUCUAUGUAGACAGAGUCCAUAUGGCAAACGUUGAGCGUUAGAAUGUUUCUUAGACCAUCAGCAGCGACAGAACGUUUCAGCAUGAUCUUGGGUAGUCUGGUUGCCGGCACCUUAAUCAUAUUGGUGUGGUUUAUUAAUAACCGAGCUGAUGUGUUAUUUAAUUCGAGGAGAACCGUCGAUUGCUAGGAACAUGCCGCGGACCACAUAUCAAUGACCAGGUUGGAUCAUCAUCACCAAGAUCAGGAUGUUCCAAUAACUAGCCUUUAACUGUAUGUGUGGUGCGCCCUC